rnacentral:rRNA from 1 species
AUUGAACGCUGGCGGCAGGCUUAACACAUGCAAGUCGAGCAGAGCGAGGGUGCUUGCACCUUAGCUUAGCGGCGGGCGGGUGAGUAAUGCUUAGGAAUCUGCCUAUUAGUGGGGGACAACAUUCCGAAAGGAAUGCUAAUACCGCAUACGCCCUACGGGGGAAAGCAGGGGAUCUUCGGACCUUGCGCUAAUAGAUGAGCCUAAGUCGGAUUAGCUAGUUGGUGGGGUAAAGGCCUACCAAGGCGACGAUCUGUAGCGGGUCUGAGAGGAUGAUCGGCCAAACUGGGACUGAGACACGGCCCAGACUCCUACGGGAGGCAGCAGUGGGGAAUAUUGGACAAUGGGCGGAAGCCUGAUCCAGCCAUGCCGCGUGUGUGAAGAAGGCCUUUUGGUUGUAAAGCACUUUAAGCGAGGAGGAGGCUACUAGUAUUAAUACUACUGGAUAGUGGACGUUACUCGCAGAAUAAGCACCGGCUAACUCUGUGCCAGCAGCCGCGGUAACAC